CUGCUAUGAUGUCUGAAUUUCUUCACCUGAAAUGGUUGUGUAGACUAAAUGAGCUUUUUAACCCUGAGCACU